UGGUAUUCACCCAGUGCCUUGAAUAACUCCUUCAGAGUACUGCCAGUGCUUAGGACAAGAGACUUGCAUACAUCAAUAUGAUUGCACAGCACGUUUCCUCAGGGGUCAGCUUUGCUACCGACCUUUCUGGCUCCAUUCCAACUACAAACAAUAUCCUAUCCUGCUCUAAGCCUGCCAAGGUUGCCUCUAUUCCUGCUAAGAAAAACUGUUUUCUUAACCUGAGGCAGGGAAGUACAUAUUUCCUCAGCCUUCCAAUUCUACAAAGCAGUUUGAAGCGUCACAGCCUGAGUGGGAUUCCAGAGGAAUUUGCCACCCAUGCCGCAGCGUGUUUU